CUUGAGCACAAGGUCACCUUCUCGGAACACACGAGGCUUGACCUUCUUGUCGAAUGCCUUCUUCACUCUCUGCUGAUAUAACUGACCAUGACACAUGGCAGUUAAUCUCUUCUUUUUGGUUAGAUUCAGUUGGUCGUAGCGACUCUGAAUCCAUUCAGCAUCAGUCAACUUGGGACUUCGAGGGUGCUAUUUCCUUUGUUUAUUUCUUUUUCCCUUCUUUUGAUUUUUUUGAUUUCGAUUUCUUUUGAUUUUGCACCCUCCUCUUU
rnacentral:lncRNA from 1 species